rnacentral:rRNA from 1 species
CGCUUAACACAUGCAAGUCGAACGCCUUAAUCUCUUCGGGGAUUGAGGAGUGGCGGACGGGUGAGUAACGCGUAGGAAUCUGCCCUUAUGUGGGGGACAACCUUGGGAAACUGGGGCUAAUACCGCAUGAAAUCUUAGGAUUAAAGUAUGCUGUUAAAGGCAUAUGCAUAAGGAGGAGCCUGCGUUGGAUUAGCUAGUUGGUAGGGUAAAGGCCUACCAAGGCGAUGAUCCAUAGCUGGUCUGAGAGGACGAACAGCCACACUGGGACUGAGAACGGCCCAGACUCCUACGGGAGGCAGCAGUGGGGAAUAUUGGACAAUGGGGGAAACCCUGAUCCAGCCAUGCCGCGUGUGUGAAGAAGGCCUGAGGGUUGUAAAGCUC